GCCCCCGCCGUGGUCGGUGGAUCCAUCGUCCCCGACACGCGCUGUGGCUCCUCCGUCCCGCCGCGCCGUCACUCUGCGCCGACCACGAAUCACCCGACGAGUCCCCCGCACCAUUGCACAUCCAAGCCUGCCCGCCGGAGCUCGAUCCCAUCUUGGCCGCCGCUCCAUUCCCUGCUGCUUUUGAGUACUCCUGCCUCGCUUCCUCUCUAACCGUCCGCCGAUGCUCACCACCAUGCAUCCCGCCGCUGGCGUGUGUGCAGCGGAAACGUUCCAUGCGGACCACCUCCAGCAAUGAAUGGGCGAUUCCCCCAUCGAAGCAGAGGAGUAGGCCUCGUGCCUUUCCGUCGGCGUCCUCACUGGUUAGUCCUUUUUGGGGCGGUUUAGAGGCGACCGGCGAGAUGGCAUCGCAGUUGGAGCAAUAGUGGGUCCAUCUCUAGAGGACGCCACCCCUCUGCUAGGUGACCAGGACCUCGUAUAGUUGGAUCCAGGGGCGCCAUGCGUGCUGCUCCAUUCAACAGGAGCCACGCCCAUUAGCUGUUUCACAGAUGACUUCAAUCGCAAUCGCGAGGUCACGGUGAGAUGUAGAGACAGUUCCUUGCUGUGAAUUGCACUUGCCAAAUACUCUGCUCACCAUUUGUUUGGCAAAAUGCCUCACUGGACCGUCAAGUUGGAUGCUGCUGCAACUUGUUUAUUUCGGUCCCAGGAGCAAAUUUUGUCUACUAUUGCAUCCCUGAAGGCCUGAACACGAUGUGUACCAAUUUGGGCCGGGAGGAAGUAUCUUGUGCUUAGGAGGAAGAAUGCUUGUUAUAUCUCACUAUCUAUUUGUCUUUAUGCCUCUUUAUCAAACUUUAUGCAAGAAGCAUAUCGAAUAAUGUUUAAGUAGCUGCAUAUUUUGUAUUUGAAAUGCUUUGUACUACUACCAAGAUGGAUCCUUCAAAUAACAUCAUUUAAUAGGAUUUCCAUCCUUCUUUCUUGCAGAUUCAUACAGGUACCAUGUCGCAAAUGGAUGACAAUGAGUACCAUGUCGCAAAUGGAUGACAAGGAGUCUGCUGAUUUAUAUCUUCAAGCACUACUCAGCUAUAUAGAUUCAUAACCAAUGAGAGUUGCUGGCACCGACGUUUGCACGGCGACUGACACCGUCCUGAGCUGCACCAACCUGAGCGCCCUUUCCAUCUGCGGGCGAUCAACAUCGGUCCGUGGGCUGGGUUUAAUCUGGAACAGAUCAGUCAUCAAACAUCGAUCUACAUGUACGUGGUUAUGAUGUGGUCUUUAGUUAUCCUGUUCAGUGCAUGCUACCAUAUCAAUUUGCAGUGGACAUAAUUCAGUUUCAGGAUUCAGGGAUUCAUUUUUUGGCAGGAAUUGCAUUCAGUACUUUGUUCAUGUUUUUUGAAGAACCUACUUUGUUCAUGUCGUUACAUGUAACUUCAGUAGGAAGAUGCCUUCAUUGUUUUAAAAAAUACACUAUUUUCAUGUAUUAGUGCAUAGAUAUGCAUUUGUUUGAAAGAUAGAGUUUGAGUUGGCAUAUGCUGCUUCUUUGUUUCUCUCUACUGUCAGCAAAUGAACUUUGUGUUCCAGCAAUUUAUAAUCCCCACCCCUAGCUGGGGCACAUUAGGGUACCUCAGGAUAGCGGAAGGUGACAGCGCUAAUGAGGACCACGCCUUCACUUACCAUCUCUCGCAUCGCCGCCACUAAGCGUUUGCAGGGCUUUUAUGAGUACAAGAUAUCCAUCUUCCGUGCAUCUGGAUAAUUAGUGAAAAAGGAAAACAAUGGAUAGAGAAAUCUAACAAUGGAUAAUUAGUGAAAAAGGAAAACAAUACAUAGUAAAUAGUUCUUAGAAUGUAUGUACUACUUGAACACAGUUGAAAUUUUUGAUAUUGUUAUGAUUCAUGUUGUUCUAUUUUAAGAGUAUUUGUCCA